rnacentral:lncRNA from 1 species
AAAUUUCCAAUUUUGCCCUUAUUUCCCUUAUUUUUCUGCUGAUUUUCUUGCCUUUGCCGUCCAGCCUAUUCACUUUUAGGCUUAAUUUCCCUUUAAAUCUUCCUUCUUUUAACACUUGAGCUAUUUAAUCCUUUUAGCAAAAUUUAUUUUUAUUACAAUUUAGUCCUUUUUAUUUAAUUGACUACCUAAUCGUUAAAAUUUCUCAACCAAACUUUAAUACUAGCUAAAUGAAACUUCAUAAAUAUUUAUAAAAUAUUUAGAGCUUGAUUUUCAAAUUCGAGGUCUCGAUACCUCGUUUUUGACCCGUUUGACCUAAUAAAUUCUUUUAAUUCACUAAUUUCACCAUUUCACAAAUUCUUCUAAAUUCUUACUUGACUCAUAAAUAUUAAAUUACUAUCUUGUUCAAUCUUAUUUUCCGGAUUUAGUGAUCUCAAAUCACCAUUUUCGAAACCACUGAAAAUUAAGCCGUUACAACUCUCCCCCCUUAGGAAAUUUCGUCCUCGAAAUUUCGUACCUGAAAAUAAAUGCGGAUAUUGUGAUCUCAUAGAUUCUUCCGUUUCCCAAGUUGCCUCCUCCAAUCCAUGUCGAUGCCAUAACACUUUUACUAACGGUACUCGUUUAUUCCGUAGUUCUUUAACUUCCCGAGCUAAUAUUUUCACUGGUUCCUCCGAAUAAGUCAUAUCUGAUUGUAGCUCUAUCUCAGUAUGAGGAAUCACAUGUGAAGGGUCUGAUCUAUAUCGUCUCAACAUAGAUACAUGAAAUACAUUAUGGAUCUUCUCAAGUUCUGGAGGCAAGGCCAAUCUAUAAGCUACCGGACCGAUCCUCUCAAUGAUUUCGUAUGGUCCGAUAAAUCGUGGACUAAGCUUUCCUUUUCUACCAAACCGUAAAACUUUCUUCCACGGAGAAACUUUCAAGAACACACGUUCACCCACAUUGAACUCUAUAUCUCUUCUUUUCAAAUCUGCAUACGACUUUUGACAAUCGGAAGCAGCUUUCAAACUUUCUUGAAUAAUCUGAACUUUCUCUUCAGUUUCCCGAAUUAAAUCCACUCCGACUAAUUUCGAUUCACUUAAUUCUGACCAAUACAACGGGGUUCUGCACUUCCUUCCAUACAGAGCUUCAAACGGUGUCAUUUUGAUACUAGCUUGAUAACUGUUAUUAUAAGCAAAUUCAGCUAAAGGUAAGUACCUUUCCCAGUUGCCACUGAACUCAAGUAUACAACACCUUAACAUAUCUUCCAAAAUCUGAAUCACUCGCUCUGAUUGUCCAUCUGUCUGAGGGUGAAAAGCUGUACUAAAUUUUAACUUAGUACCUAAAGCUUCCUGUAGUUUAUUCCAAAAUCUCGAAGUAAACCUCGGAUCUCGAUCAGAAAUAAUUGAUGUCGGCACCCCAUGUAAUCUCACAAUUUCUGAUACAUAUAAUUCCGCUAACUUAUCAAGUGAAAAAUCUGUUCUGACCGGAAUAAAAUGCGCCGAUUUAGUUAAUCUGUCUACUAUCACCCAAAUCGAAUCUUUUUUCUUCGGAGUCACUGGCAAUCCAGAUACAAAAUCCAUCGUCACAUGUUCCUACUUCCAUUCUGGAAUCAUUACGAGUUGUAACAAACCUGUAGGCACUUGAUGUUCAGCUUUUACCUGUUGACAGAUUAAACAUUUUGCCACAAAUUCACAAAUUUCCCGUUUCAUACCAGGCCACCAAUACAUAUUUUUCAAACCACAAUACAUCUUCGUACUACCCGGAUGAAUCGAGUACAUACUACUAUGAGCCUCUGAUAAGAUAUCCUUCUUCAAUUCUAGAUUAUUCGGGACACAAAUUCUAUUACGAUGGUAUAACAUACCACUAUUAUCAAUAGAGUAAUCUAAGUUCAAAUUAUCCCGAACCAUUUGUCGUUUCAACACCAACUUCGGAUCUUCAUCUUGCAAUUCCCGAAUUCGUUGAAAGAAUACUGGUUUUGUCUUUAAUUCAGCUAAUAUAGAACCAUUUUCAUUAACAGACAAAUGAGCAUUUAACGCCCGAAGAGCAAAUAAUGAUGAUUUCCGACUAAGUGCAUCUGUCACUACAUUUGCCUUACCCGGAUGAUAAUCAAUGAUAAGAUCGUAAUCUUUCAACAGCUCUAACCAUCGCCUCUGUCUCAAAUUCAGCUCUUUCUGCGACAUUAAAUAUUUCAAACUUUUAUGGUCUGUAUACACAUAACAUUUCUCUCCAUAUAGGUAGUGUCUCCAAAUUUUUAAAGCAAAUACUAUGGCAGCUAAUUCAAGAUCAUGUGUAGGGUAGUUCCUCUCAUGUGGUUUCAACUGUCGAGAAGCAUAUGCUACAACUUUUCCUGACUGCAUCAAUACACAACCUAAACCAUUCAUAGAUGCAUCACUAUAUACUACAUAUGGCACACCUGAUUCAGGCUGAGUUAACACCGGAGCCUCUGUCAACAUUUUCUUUAAUUGAUCAAAACUUCGUUGGCACUCAUCAGACCAUACAAACUCAACAUUCUUCUGUAAUAAUUUAGUUAUAGGUGAAGCAAUCAGUGAAAAAUCUUUCACAAAUCGACGAUAGUAACCAGCUAAUCCAAGGAAACUUCGCACUUCCGUAACAUUCUUUGGAGUUUUCCAAUUAAUCACCGCUGACACCUUACUCGGAUCUACCCGUAUACCAUCAACUGACACAAUGUGACCCAAGAAUCCCACUUCAUGAAGCCAAAAUUCACAUUUACUAAAUUUUGCAUAUAACUGUUUUUCCCUUAAUAUCUGUAGUACAAUUCUCAAGUGCUGAGCAUGCUCGGAUUCUGUCUUUGAAUAGAUCAGUAUAUUGUCAAUAAACACAACCAAAAAUCUAUCCAGGUGAGACUGGAAAAUUCGAUUCAUUAAAUCCAUAAAAGCAGCAGGAGCAUUUGUCAUACCGAAUGGCAUAACUAAGAACUCAUAAUGACCAUACCGAGUUCUAAAAGCUGUUUUCGGCACAUCACAUUCCUUUACCUUUAACUGAUAAUACCCAGAUCUGAGAUCUAUUUUUGAAAACACUGCAGCAUCCUUAAGCUGAUCGAAUAAAUCAUCAAUACGAGGCAAAGGAUAUUUAUUUUUAAUUAUUACCUUAUUCAGCUGCCUGUAAUCUAUACACAACCUCAAUGAACCAUCAUUCUUUUUCACAAAUAAGACAGGUGCACCCCAUGGCGACAUACUCGGUCUGAUAAACCCUUUAUCUAACAGCUCUUGCAACUGCGUUUUUAACUCUCUUAAUUCUGCUGGAGCCAUUCUAUACGGUGUCACCGAUAUGGGAGCUGUUCCCGGAAGCACAUCUAUCACGAACUCAACUUCUCUAUCGGGUGGUAAACCUGGUAAUUCUUCAGGAAAUACAUCCAUGAAUUCAUUUACAAUAGAUAGUUGCUCUAACUUUGAUUCAGAACUUCGAGUAUCAAGAAUAUAGGCUAAAUAAGCCUCAUUUCCUUUACGCAACAAUUUCUGAGCAGACAUAAAGGAAAUCAUUCUAACCAUGUCAUCCAAAUUUCCAGACUCAACCAAAAUAAUGUCUCCUGUUUGACAUUUCAAACUAAUUCGUUUUUCUCGACAAUUCACUAUUGCAUCAUGUUUCAUUAACCAGUCCAUGCCCAAGAUAAUAUCAAAUUCCCGAAAUAUUAAGCUUUAACGGGGUCAUCAUCUGUUCUUCCCCGAAAUUCUUCAGCCCCAUGUUUUCUGAGCUUUUCAAAUGGAGAACGUUUGCCAGAUUCAGUUGUCGGAGGAGGUGGAGGAGCAACCGGGGGUACUACCGAUGUUGAGAUAAGGGGAGGAGGUUGCAGAGUCUGAUUUCUUUAUCGCACAUUCUCAUUAUACCACUGAUUCAUGAAUCCAUAAAUCAUAUUUUUGAGUUCUUGUUCUCGCAUCAAUGAAAUCGGAGCUUCACUACUUGUUCCUUGUUCAGAGAUUUGUACUCUGCUAUUAACUUCUUCUUGCUCAGUUUGUUCUGGUCUAUCUGACAUCUUUUCAAAUCGAAGAUAAUCUAUAAUAAAAACAAGGAUUAGAUCGGAUCAUACACAGCACACUAUCACAGAUUUAUAUGGCAUGUAAUUCUAGACGCUUUUCACAUCAUACAUAUUCCGAGAAUCGGCUAAACCGAAGCUCUGAUACCAAUAAAUGUAACGCCCCUUACCCAAGACCGUUGCCGGAGUCGAGCACAAGGCACUACUAAACUUAUUUGAGCACUUAACCAAAUUCAGAUAAUUUAUAUCAUACUUUUCAGACAAGCUGUCCAACUGCGUCAUAGUUGCUAAAUAAUUCAUAUCUCGAGUUAUAAAACUCAAAAUCCAGAGCUUCAAUGACUAUUUCGUUUGUCUCUAAUAAAACUAGACUCAAUAAGGAAUCUGUACAUAUAAAGUAUGACUUCUAAUUAUCUUUGUAAAAUUUAUGGUGAAUUUUCAAAGUCAGAACAGGGGAUCCAGAAAUUGCUCUGGCCCUGUUUCACAAAAAUUUAAACAUCUCAUAAAAUAUAGCUCAUAUACCUGUUUUGCUUCUUCUAUAUGAAAAUAGACUCAUCAAGAUUCGAUUCCAUAACUUAUUCAUUAUUUAAUUCCAUUUCUACUAUUUUUAGUGAUUUUUCAAAGUCAAACUACUACUUACCAAAAACUAUUUUAGUACAAAUAUUGUUAACUAGUUUAUAACAUCUUUACUUCAAUUCAUUCAAACUCUAUACAUGCCAUAUAAAUCUUUAAACAGAAAACAAAAACUACUGGAAUUGAUCUGAAUAGUAUGCCCUGUUGUGUUGAUCCGAUCUACCAACUUCUCUUUAAUUCAUGAUAUGAAAAUCUUAUGAUUGUUAAAGUAUUUUAUUGUUGAUGAAUACUAUCAAUUUGCAUUAACUAAUAAAUAAUGCGUAACUAAAAGUACAAAUUAGUAGGAAUAAUGGAUUUGAGUGCUUCUAUUCUGUGACCCUGAUAAAUUGACGAAAAAUAUGUGAUAAGUGCGCCCGUUUUAGACCAUAGCUGGGCUAUGGCAUCGGUGCAAUGUGAUAAUGUGACUUCGUAUAAGACCAUAGCUGGGCUAUGGCAUCGGUAUAAUGUGAUAAUGUGAUUCCGUAUAAGACCAUGUCUGGGAUAUGGCUUCGGUAUGAUAUGUGAACCGUGUAAGACCAUGGCAAGGCUAUGGCUUCGGUGUGUGAUGCGUAACAAUGUGAAAGUCCAUAGUUUACUAUGGCAAUGUGAUAAUGAAACACUCAAUUCCCUUAUUGUUCCCUAAUUUGACAAUGAAGUAAAUGAGAAAUGGGCCUAAGGGAGUUAAAUUGUGAGUAGCCAUAUGGAAAUUAUUCCAAUGAGUUAUUAAUGAAAUUGUGAUUUAGAGGAUGAAAUAGUUAAACUAAUAGAUAUAUGAUUGUGUACAAUAUUUGAUAUGAUUUGUGUUUUUAUGACUGAGCUUACUAAGCUUCAAUAAGCUUACUUGUGUGUGUUUGAUAAUUUCUAAACAUUGAACUUUGCCAUAUGAACUUACCUGGACUAAUUUGUAGAAGAUAUUGAAAUUUAGGGACUAUUCCGCAACUUUUUCUUUUCCUCGUUCUUCUUUGGAUUCUUUAUCUAUAGUAUAAAAUAUUUCUACUCAUUAGCAUUUAUUUGAUUUCUAUUUCACUUUACAAUUUAUGCUGUUCAAAUUUCGAAAUUGCACUUUUACCCCAAAAUUUACAGUUUUCACAAUUUAGUCCCUGCUCAAUUCACCCAUCAAUUGAACUAAUUUUUCUCAAUUAACACUUUAUUUUAUCAUUAUAAACUAUUUCAAAAUCUUUUCUAUUCUGAAUUUCAACAGAAACCUUCAAUUCAAAACUUUUUCACAAUUAGGUCCUAAAUAUCAUUUUCUAUCAAAAUCACUUAAUAAAACCACCUUAAUAUGAAAAUUAGAACUUAAAUUUCAUAAUAAUUCAUCAUAAAAUUCCCUUAUCUAUCCAGGGUAACUUCCAAUUUCACCCAUAAAAUCAAAAACUAAUGAAUUCUAUAAGUGGACGUAAUUGUAAAAGUCAUAAAAACAUAAAAAAAUUAUCAAAAAAAAGCAAGAAUUAAACUCACAUGAUGUAAAAUAUGAAGAACCAGCUUUCUCCAGACCUUCUAUGGCGUUUUGGCUGAUAAAAUAUGAAGAGAUCUCUAGAUUCUUCAAUUUUAUUCUUAUUUUAUAUGUUAAAGUUGUAAAAUUUCCAAUUUUGCCCUUAUUUCCCUUAUUUUUCUGCUGAUUUUCUUGCCUUUGCCGUCCAGCCUAUUCACUUUUAGGCUUAAUUUCCCUUUAAAUCUUCCUUCUUUUAACACUUGAGCUAUUUAAUCCUUUUAGCAAAAUUUAUUUUUAUUACAAUUUAGUCCUUUUUAUUUAAUUGACUACCUAAUCGUUAAAAUUUCUCAACCAAACUUUAAUACUAGCUAAAUGAAACUUCAUAAAUAUUUAUAAAAAUAUUUAUAGCUUGAUUUUCAAAUUCGAGGUCUCGAUACCUCGUUUUUGACCCGUUUGACCUAAUAAAUUCUUUUAAUUCACUAAUUUCACCAUUUCACAAAUUCUUCUAAAUUCUUACUUGACUCAUAAAUAUUAAAUUACUAUCUUGUUCAAUCUUAUUUGUCGGAUUUAG